UAUAGUGUUAGUUGUAUAAAACAAUGUGAACUGAUUACUGUAAUAAGAUGUGGUAUUUUUCAUUCCGCCUUCAUUACUUCACUGUUUACAAACAAAAUUCGUAAACAAAAUUUUUGUUUAUUUUUAGCGUUACCUUACUAAUUAUUUCUACUUGAACGAAAGAAUGGUACAAAACUACAAAUCUUUGAGUACAUAAUGAUAUUUUCAAAAACUAUUUAUUGCCCUAUCGUCGACUCAACUAAAUUGUGUAUUUUUUUUAGAAUUUAUUGUCUAGUAAUACAUUAUUAUCUUUUUCUUUUUGUAUUG